rnacentral:lncRNA from 1 species
UAAAGGCCUACCGAAAACUGAGGAGAGUUGAUUUUGUUUCAAUGGUUUUGUUUCUGGGUUCUAUCUCAGGAGGGAGGUUGUGCAUCAAUGCUUUGCAGUUUCCUUAGUUGUAUUUCAUUGAACGUGUUACUUGACCCAAAUGAAACACACUUGAUCCAAAUGAAACACCGACUACAAUAAUAAACGGGAUUCAUGCUGUGAAGUAUCUCCCCCUAUUUCUUUGGCAUAAAUGACACUGCAUUUGUAUUCCCUCUAUGGUUGAUUGUAUUUUUACAGUUAUUGUAUUCCCGGGG